AUAUCAAUAAGCGGAGGAAAAGAAACCAACAGGGAUUGCCUCAGUAACGGCGAGUGGAGCGGCAACAGCUCAAAUUUGAAAUCUGGCCUCGGCCCGAGUUGUACUUUGCAGAGGGCGAUUCUGGUGAGGCACCUGCUGAGUCCCCUGGAACGGGGCGCCGUAGAGGGUGAGAGCCCCGUAGCGCAGGAUGCCGACCCGCUGUGAAUCCCCUUCGACGAGUCGAGUAGUUUGGGAAUGCUGCUCAAAAUGGGAGGUAAAUUCCUUCUAAAGCUAAAUACCGGCCAGAGACCGAUAGCGCACAAGUAGAGUGAUCGAAAGAUGAAAAGCACUUUGAAAAGAGGGUUAAACAGUCA
rnacentral:rRNA from 1 species